rnacentral:rRNA from 1 species
GUCUGCAACUCGACUACAUGAAGCUGGAAUCGCUAGUAAUCGCGAAUCAGAAUGUCGCGGUGAAUACGUUCCCGGGUCUUGUACACACCGCCCGUCACACCAUGGGAGUCGGAAAUGCCCGAAGUCAGUGACCUAACCGAGAGGGAGGAGCUGCCGAAGGUGGAGCCGGUAACUGGGGUGAAGUCGUAACAAGGUAGC